rnacentral:rRNA from 1 species
GGGUUGUGAGGUUAAGCGACUAAGCGUACACGGUGGAUGCCCUGGCAGUCAGAGGCGAUGAAGGACGUGCUAAUCUGCGAAAAGCGCCGGCGAGGUGAUAUGAACCCUUGACCCGGCGAUGUCCGAAUGGGGAAACCCAGUGUGAUUCGUCACACUAUCGUUAACUGAAUACAUAGGUUAACGAGGCGAACCGGGGGAACUGAAACAUCUAAGUACCCCGAGGAAAAGAAAUCAACCGAGAUUCCCCCAGUAGCGGCGAGCGAACGGGGAGCAGCCCAGAGUCUGAAUCAGCUUGUGUGUUAGUGGAAGCGUCUGGAAAGUCGCACGGUACAGGGUGAUAGUCCCGUACACGAAAAUGCACAGGCUGUGAACUCGAAGAGUAGGGCGGGACACGUGGUAUCCUGUCUGAAUAUGGGGGGACCAUCCUCCAAGGCUAAAUACUCCUGACUGACCGAUAGUGAACCAGUACCGUGAGGGAAAGGCGAAAAGAACCCCGGCGAGGGGAGUGAAAAAGAACCUGAAACCGUGUACGUACAAGCAGUGGGAGCACCUUCGGGUGUGACUGCGUACCUUUUGUAUAAUGGGUCAGCGACUUAUAUUCUGUAGCAAGGUUAACCGUAUAGGGGAGCCGAAGGGAAACCGAGUCUUAACUGGGCGUUAAGUUGCAGGGUAUAGACCCGAAACCCGGUGAUCUAGCCAUGGGCAGGUUGAAGGUUGGGUAACACUAACUGGAGGACCGAACCGACUAAUGUUGAAAAAUUAGCGGAUGACCUGUGGCUGGGGGUGAAAGGCCAAUCAAACCGGGAGAUAGCUGGUUCUCCCCGAAAGCUAUUUAGGUAGCGCCUCGUGAACUCAUCUUCGGGGGUAGAGCACUGUUUCGGCUAGGGGGCCAUCCCGGCUUACCAACCCGAUGCAAACUACGAAUACCGAAGAAUGUUAUCACGGGAGACACACGGCGGGUGCUAACGUCCGUCGUGAAGAGGGAAACAACCCAGACCGCCAGCUAAGGUCCCAAAGUCAUGGUUAAGUGGGAAACGAUGUGGGAAGGCCCAGACAGCCAGGAUGUUGGCUUAGAAGCAGCCAUCAUUUAAAGAAAGCGUAAUAGCUCACUGGUCGAGUCGGCCUGCGCGGAAGAUGUAACGGGGCUAAACCAUGCACCGAAGCUGCGGCAGCGACACUAUGUGUUGUUGGGUAGGGGAGCGUUCUGUAAGCCGUUGAAGGUGGCCUGUGAGGGUUGCUGGAGGUAUCAGAAGUGCGAAUGCUGACAUAAGUAACGAUAAAGCGGGUGAAAAGCCCGCUCGCCGGAAGACCAAGGGUUCCUGUCCAACGUUAAUCGGGGCAGGGUGAGUCGACCCCUAAGGCGAGGCCGAAAGGCGUAGUCGAUGGGAAACAGGUUAAUAUUCCUGUACUUGGUGUUACUGCGAAGGGGGGACGGAGAAGGCUAUGUUAGCCGGGCGACGGUUGUCCCGGUUUAAGCAUGUAGGCGGAGGUUCCAGGUAAAUCCGGUACCUUUUAACGCUGAGGUGUGAUGACGAGGCACUACGGUGCUGAAGUAACAAAUGCCCUGCUUCCAGGAAAAGCCUCUAAGCAUCAGGUAACAUCAAAUCGUACCCCAAACCGACACAGGUGGUCAGGUAGAGAAUACCAAGGCGCUUGAGAGAACUCGGGUGAAGGAACUAGGCAAAAUGGUGCCGUAACUUCGGGAGAAGGCACGCUGAUAUGUAGGUGAAGCCCCUGCGGGUGGAGCUGAAAUCAGUCGAAGAUACCAGCUGGCUGCAACUGUUUAUUAAAAACACAGCACUGUGCAAACACGAAAGUGGACGUAUACGGUGUGACGCCUGCCCGGUGCCGGAAGGUUAAUUGAUGGGGUUAGCGGUAACGCGAAGCUCUUGAUCGAAGCCCCGGUAAACGGCGGCCGUAACUAUAACGGUCCUAAGGUAGCGAAAUUCCUUGUCGGGUAAGUUCCGACCUGCACGAAUGGCGUAAUGAUGGCCAGGCUGUCUCCACCCGAGACUCAGUGAAAUUGAACUCGCUGUGAAGAUGCAGUGUACCCGCGGCAAGACGGAAAGACCCCGUGAACCUUUACUAUAGCUUGACACUGAACACUGGUCCUUGAUGUGUAGGAUAGGUGGGAGGCUUUGAAGCGUGGACGCCAGUCUGCGUGGAGCCAUCCUUGAAAUACCACCCUUUAAUGGCUGGUGUUCUAACGUAGACCCGUAAUCCGGGUUGCGGACAGUGUCUGGUGGGUAGUUUGACUGGGGCGGUCUCCUCCCAAAGAGUAACGGAGGAGCACGAAGGUUAGCUAAUCCUGGUCGGACAUCAGGAGGUUAGUGCAAUGGCAUAAGCUAGCUUGACUGCGAGAGUGACGGCUCGAGCAGGUGCGAAAGCAGGUCAUAGUGAUCCGGUGGUUCUGAAUGGAAGGGCCAUCGCUCAACGGAUAAAAGGUACUCCGGGGAUAACAGGCUGAUACCGCCCAAGAGUUCAUAUCGACGGCGGUGUUUGGCACCUCGAUGUCGGCUCAUCACAUCCUGGGGCUGAAGUAGGUCCCAAGGGUAUGGCUGUUCGCCAUUUAAAGUGGUACGCGAGCUGGGUUUAGAACGUCGUGAGACAGUUCGGUCCCUAUCUGCCGUGGGCGCUGGAGAAUUGAGGGGGGCUGCUCCUAGUACGAGAGGACCGGAGUGGACGCAUCACUGGUGUUCGGGUUGUCAUGCCAAUGGCACUGCCCGGUAGCUAAAUGCGGAAGAGAUAAGUGCUGAAAGCAUCUAAGCACGAAACUUGCCCCGAGAUGAGUUCUCCCUGAGACUUAAAGUCUCCUGAAGGAACGUUGAAGACGACGACGUUGAUAGGUCGGGUGUGUAAGCGCAGCGAUGCGUUGAGCUAACCGAUACUAAUGAACCGUGAGGCUUAACCUUACAACGCCGAAG